CACCCACUCGCGACAAAGCGUCGGGGGGCGCUUGACCGGAAUUGGAACAGGGGCCGGUCACGUGCGCGAUGGGGAAGCCUGGGGCCGGUAGUCGGGGGACUGCCGGCCCCUUUUUU
rnacentral:antisense_RNA from 1 species